rnacentral:rRNA from 1 species
CCUACGGGUGGCAGCAGUGAGGAAUAUUGGUCAAUGGGCGGAAGCCUGAACCAGCCAAGUCGCGUGAGGGAAUAAGGCCCUACGGGUCGUAAACCUCUUUUGCCGGGGAGCAAGGCCCGGGACGCGUCCCGGCCCGGAGAGUACCCGGAGAAAAAGCAUCGGCUAACUCCUUGCCAGCAGCCGCGGUAAUACGGGGGAUGCGAGCGUUAUCCGGAUUUAUGGGGUUUAAAGGGUGCGUAGGCGGUCUUUUAAUUCAGCGGUAAAAAUUCGGGGCUAAACCGCGUCCUGCCGUUGAAACUGGGGGCCUUGAGUGGGCGAGAAGAAGGCGGAAUGCGUGGUGUAGCGGUGAAAUGCAUAGAUAUCACGCAGAACCCCGAGUGCGAAGGCAGCCUUCCGGCGCACUACUGACGCUGAGGCACGAAAGUGCGGGGAUCGAACAGGAUUAGAUACCCGAGUAGUC